CCCUGGAUGGUGCAAAAGGUUAAAUGUGCUCAGCUGCUAACUGAAAAGUUGAAGGUUCAAGUCCAUCUACAGGCA
rnacentral:tRNA from 1 species